GACUAACGCUGGCGGUAUGCCUUCAUUUUGCAAGUCGAACGAGUUUCCGGGCUUGCUCGGAAACUAGUGGCGAACGGCUGAGUAACGCGUAGGUGACCUACCCCGUAGUGAGGAAUAACUGCCCGAAAGGGUAGCUAAUACCUCAUGUUGAGCCGGCUUCUUUGCCGUCUCCAAAGCAGCAAUGCGCUAUGGGCGGGGCCUGCGUUCGAUUAGCUAGUUGGUGAGGUAAUGGCCCACCAAGGCGACAAUCGAUAGGUGGUCUGAGAGGACGAUCACCCAGACUGGGACUGAGACACGGCCCAAACUCCUACGGGAGGCAGCAGUCGGGAAUUUUGCGCAUUGGGGGAAACCCUGACGCACCAAUACCGCGUGUGGGAUGAAGGCCUUCGGGUCGUAAACCACUUUUCUCGGGGACGAUAAUGACGGUACCCGAGGAAUAAGCCACGGCUAACUACGUG
rnacentral:rRNA from 1 species